rnacentral:tRNA from 1 species
AAAAAGCUAGUUUAAAUAAAACUUUCGAUUUCGACUCAAAAUAUUUUGGUGUGACCCCAAAGCUUUUAU